rnacentral:rRNA from 1 species
AGAGUUUUGAAUUCCAUGGCUCAGGAUGAACGCUAGCGGCAGGCUUAACACAUGCAAGUCGAGGGGUAUAAGUCUUCGGAUUUAGAGACCGGCGCACGGGUGCGUAACGCGUAUGCAAUCUACCUUUUACAGAGGGAUAGCCCAGAGAAAUUUGGAUUAAUACCUCAUAGUAUAACAUGACCGCAUGGUCGAGUUAUUAAAGUCACAACGGUAAAAGAUGAGCAUGCGUCCCAUUAGCUAGUUGGUAAGGUAACGGCUUACCAAGGCUACGAUGGGUAGGGGUCCUGAGAGGGAGAUCCCCCACACUGGUACUGAGACACGGACCAGACUCCUACGGGAGGCAGCAGUGAGGAAUAUUGGACAAUGGGCGCAAGCCUGAUCCAGCCAUGCCGCGUGCAGGAUGACGGUCCUAUGGAUUGUAAACUGCUUUUAUACGAGAAGAAACACUCCGACGUGUCGGAGCUUGACGGUAUCGUAGAAUAGAUGGC